CGCGGGGUGGAGCAGUCUGGUAGCUCGUCGGGCUCAUAACCCGAAGGUNGUAGGUUCAAAUCCUGCCCCCGCAACCA
rnacentral:tRNA from 1 species